AUAAUCUAAAGCAAGAUGAGCUGGGGAGGAGGAGAAUACGAAGGCCUUUCUUAUACUCAGUGAGAAUUAUACUCACAUUAAAGGAGGGCAAUGAAGAAUACAGGAAAACUUCUUAUGAUAUACUCCUUAAGAUAAGUGCCAGCUUGGAAGACUCAUCAGCUAUUUCUGAUGCACCUUGUCACAAACUGAUUUAGCAUGAUAAUGGGCUAUCUUUCUGGCUCAUAUCCUCAGUUAAAAAGUGGAAGAGUGUCUGCUUUCUCAGUAUUGGUUUAUCAGGAUGUAGAUAUCUCUCUGUCAAUGCCUGAUCUUUUCCCUUACUUUUAUCUUUGCUGCAUACCAAAGUGGGGGAAGUGAUAAAAGUCAUUGUAAUAAUGGCGAUUUUGAUACGGAAGUGAGGUUCUGCAAUAGUCGAGUCAGUUACUCCAGAGAAAUAUAAGGGUUUUCUGAAGGCCAUUUUGGAGGGGAGAAAGUUGUUGGAAAGAGUGGAAAACCUCUUCAUUACAAUGGUAGCACAUUCCACAGGAUUAUUCCCUACUUCAUGAUCCAGGGAAGUAAUUUUGCACUUGGUAAUGGAAGAGGUGGAGAAUCAGUCUAUGGCUAGAAGCUUGCUGACAAGAACAUCAGGAUGAAGCAUACUGGACAAGGGUUGGUUGGUGUUUUGUUCAAGAUUAUUGAGAGAUAUCACUUUCUUCUUUGUUGUUUUACACUCCCAAUUUUUCAGUUGCUGCCCCUAUAGCUGAGACGUCAGUACAAAUGAAGUAUAUCUCUGAACUUGUAAGUGAUCUUCCAAUUGUUUCUACUUUCUGGGCAUGUGAUCGUAAUGUUAGGAACACCUCCCAUCUCUCCCAUUCCUCUCUCUGCAUUGGGAGUUUUGGAUGGAGAUGGACUAUAUGUUCCUCUUCUGUG